CCUACGGGUGGCAGCAGUGAGGAAUAUUGGUCAAUGGCCGAGAGUCUGAACCAGCCAAGUAGCGUGAAGGAUGACUGCGCUGAGGGUUGUAGACUUCUUUUAUCUGGGAAUAAAAUGCUCCACGUGUGGGGUUCUGUAUGUACCAUAUGAAUAAGGAUCGGCUAACUCCGUGCCAGCAGCCGCGGUAAUACGGAGGAUCCGAGCGUUAUCCGGAUUUAUUGGGUUUAAAGGGGGCGUAGGUGGGUUGUUAAGUCCGUGGUGAAAUUCUGGGGCUCAACCGUAACAUUGCAGUUGAAACUGGGAGUCUUGAGUACAGUAGAGGUAGGCGGAAUGCGCGGUGUAGCGGUGAAAUGCUUAGAUAUCACGCAGAACCCCGAUUGCGAAGGCAGCGCGCUGGGCUGCCACUGACGCUGAGGCUCGAAAGUGCGGGGAUCAAACAGGAUUAGAUACCCUUGUAGUC
rnacentral:rRNA from 1 species